rnacentral:rRNA from 1 species
UACGAAGGGGGCUAGCGUUGUUCGGAAUUACUGGGCGUAAAGCGCACGUAGGCGGCUUUUAAGUCAGGGGUGAAAUCCUGGAGCUCAACUCCAGAACUGCCUUUGAUACUGAGAAGCUUGAGUCCGGGAGAGGUGAGUGGAACUGCGAGUGUAGAGGUGAAAUUCGUAGAUAUUCGCAAGAACACCAGUGGCGAAGGCGGCUCACUGGCCCGGUACUGACGCUGAGGUGCGAAAGCGUGGGGAGCAAACAGG